GGAGAGGUGCCCGAGUGGCUGAAGGGGCCGGUUUCGAAAACCGGUGUGCGGGCAACCGUACCGGGGGUUCGAAUCCCUCCCUCUCCG
rnacentral:tRNA from 1 species